rnacentral:rRNA from 1 species
AGGACGAACGCUGGCGGCGUGCCUAAUACAUGCAAGUCGAACGGUCUUUCUAUGGAAGCUUGCUUCCACUGAGAAGAUAGUGGCGAACGGGUGAGUAACACGUGGGGUAACCUGCCCAUAAGAGGGGGGAUAACAUCCGGAAACGGGUGCUAAUACCGCAUAGUUUUCUUGAUCGCAUGAUUGGGAAAGGAAAGACGGCCUUUGUGCUGUCGCUUAUGGAUGGACCCGCGGCGUAUUAGUUAGUUGGUGAGGUAACGGCUCACCAAGACGAUGAUACGUAGCCGACCUGAGAGGGUGAUCGGCCACAUUGGGACUGAGACACGGCCCAAACUCCUACGGGAGGCAGCAGUAGGGAAUCUUCCGCAAUGGACGAAAGUCUGACGGAGCAACGCCGCGUGAGUGAAAGAAGGUUUUCGGAUCGUAAAACUCUGUUGUCAGAGAAGAACAAGUUGGAGAGUAACUGCUCCAGCCUUGACGGUAUCUGACCAGAAAGCCACGGCUAACUACGUGCCAGCCGCCGC